rnacentral:lncRNA from 1 species
AGUGAAAUGUUUUAAGUCCAAUUGGUUAAGAUGUUGUCUCCGAGGGCUCCAACUCCCCCUCCAUCACCCUUCACCCUUCCUUUGGAAUUAGGUGCUGUUUGAAUGACUCCUGGCGUUUUGAAAUCUGGUUUACAGAAAGGAUAUCCGUGGACAUCACAGACGCAUGGUAAAAGGCAGCAGCCCCAUCUAUGUUACAGCACCUGCGACACAUGAUAGCAUUUAUCAUUCUGAGUCUUCAUUGUCACCUUACCUGUGAGCCCGGAGCCUUUCUGUCAUCAUCUCAGGAGAGACCCUUCUGGCGACACUCGGCAAACAGGCCAGAGGGUGAGGAAGCCAAGGAGUCCAGAGCCCGAAGACAACACUGCUGAACUGAAAGAGGAUAACGAGGAGGCCAGCUAAAGUGUCAGAGACACAAGAAUGAGCAGCAGCAGAGCCAGUGGAACCCAGAGGUUCAUCUAGAGAAAAAGACCAUGAGCCAAAAAGCCAGUCUGAGAACAAGACGAUCGGUGACGGUGGUGACGGAGGUGGUGACAGAGAUGAGUUGAGAUGGGGCCACAUGAUUGACCUACGAGGUGGCAUCAGAUAAUCGGAAGUCUCUGAGACAGAACUUGAGAGACAAAAAGAACAAGGUCUGAAGACUGAGGGUGGAGCAACCCAAGCUGAGAAAACAAAGCAACAAAUAAGAGAAAAAGCAAACGCCCUAAGAUCAGAAUGAAAAUAAUGUGGCCCAUGAUGCUUUUCCAAGGAGCUGUUUGGCCUCCGUCACCAGGACAACAGCUUGUGAACCUACCCUCACCUGGAGAGUUACUCUGGGGUCUGGGGCCAUGGAUGUGACACUUGGCUCUAUUCCUGGACACGUGACUUGCCUAGGAACAGAGAGAGAUGAUCAGAAGGAUGAGACCACGGAGCUCCAGCCAGACCAGUGCACGGGGAUGGCCUUGCUUUCUCUGCCGUGUAUCUACAGAGCCUCAGGAUAUCCCAAAACACAACGAAAGGGCGUCAUGGUCACCAAGGGUUAGAAUGACACUCUUGAUGGGUGUAGAGACAAACUUACAAACACUGGACAAUGAAUUACAAAUUGAAAGCAAGUGAACUCCCACACCCUUUUCUAACCCAACCAGGCGGAUGAUCUAACAAGGCGGCCCUGAAGCCCAAA